rnacentral:sRNA from 1 species
GCCGGGCUUGGUGGUGCACACCUGUAAUCCCAGUGGCUGGGGAGGCUGAGGCAGGAGGAUCAAGAGUUCAAAGCCAGCCUCAGCAAAAGUGAGGUGCUAAGCAACUCAGUGAGACUCUGUCUCUA